CAUCAACAUGUUCUCUGUAGCUCUGAUACUGCUGCUGGCUGCUGGAUCCUGUGUGAACAGUAUUGAUCUCAUCCAGACAGACUCAAUGGUUGUGCAGCCUGGACAGUCUCUGACCAUCAGCUGUCAGGUCUCUGGUUAUUCUUUGACUGAUAACAGCUAUGCAACAGGUUGGGUCAGACAGAGUGAAGGAAAACCAAUGGACUGGAUAUCCCACCGGUUUGGUGGAGGUAGCUUUUACCAAAAUAAUGCUCUGAAGAACAAGUUCCUUUACCACACACACACGUCUACUAGCUCGGUGACAUUAACAGGAGUGAAUCUGCAGCCUGAGGACACAGCUGUGUAUUACUGUGUGCGUGUAAGCUACACAGUGAUACAAACCACCAACAGACCUGCACAAAUACCCAGCAACCAGCAAGACUCAACCACACACAUUUUGUAA